ACGCUCGACACCUACGGGGGCAGCAGUCGGGAAUAUUGCGCAAUGGAGGAAACUCUGACGCAGUGACGCCGCGUGCAGGAAGAAGGUUUUCGGAUUGUAAACUGCUUUAGACAGGGAAGAAAGAAAUGACAGUACCUGUAGAAUAAGCUCCGGCUAACUACGUGCCAGCAGCCGCGUAUCUGAGGCGGCGUGGACGAAGGC
rnacentral:rRNA from 1 species